GGGGGGGGGGCGACGCAGCUGUUAGCUCCGCCUCCUCGCUGCGCCCCUAGGCUUCAGACCCCCGCACCUUGGAGCUGCAGCUCCCGCCUUUUCUUCCUCACUUAGCGGCGGAGCAAGCUUUCCAGACUCCUGCCCUCCCCAGCUCCGCGCACCCGGGCCAAUUCCCAGAUCAAGGCCCGGGGGAAAUUUGGCUCUCGCCGCCGCCUCCGGGGUCCACAGCCCCACCCCCCGUCAUGUGAUCAAGAACAGGCCUUGCUUCCCCGGACUCCAGUGGCUCAGCUCUGACCCCACCACUGCCCUGAGGAACCCCAGAUGCGGAGCCUUGAGUUCAAACCCAGCCCUCUAACGGACACAUCUGUGGCCGCCCUGGGAGAUCAGCCCAUUCGUGUGCUUGCAAAACAGCCCAGCCUGCUUUGGGAGAACGCUGCUGAUUUGCCAGCAUGAGCUGGGGCUGCUUGGUGGACGUUGAACCUCCCCUGCCCUCCCUGCAAGCUUUCCGUUUUCUCCUGCAUGCAAUGGAGGGAAUGGUGCCCAGCCCUUGGGAUGACUGGAAGACACCUGGCACCAAGCCAGCAGCCCCCUGAAGCCUUUUUAGACUUAGGUUGCAUUUAGGGCUCAGCCACAGAAGCACAGCAUUUUUGAGCUGGAGGGGGCAGACUCUGGAGAAGUCCAGCUUGUCUGUGGUCAAAGCCCAGCAGGACGCAGAGGCGAGCUGGACUCUGUUGGGAGGCACAGACACGGUUCUCCCUGCUACACGGGGACAACAGUGGACACCCAAAACGUUCAACCCUCAAAGCAGCAGCCCACGAGAGACGUCUGCUGAGAGCAUCCCACAGAAGACGCAGUCAAGUCCAGGCAGAGAAUCUGGAUACGGAAGAGUGGACAAGGCAGACCUACACCUUCAACUGCACGCUCAGCACCUCCUCCCCAGCCUCCCCGUCUUGCGGAAAGGCACCCCAAACGCCCAGCUGCUAGUACCAAAAAUCUGGUAUGCCUCACUUUCCUUCAUCUUCCACAUCCAAUCUGUCAGCAAGUCCUGUGAGUCCUAUGUCUGAAAUACACUGAUUUGACUCAUGGUGCUCACUCAGUCCUGUCCGAUUCUUGGCAACCCCAUGGAUGGUAGCCCACUAGGCUCCGCUGUCCAUGGGAUUUCCAGGCAAGAUUACUGGAGUGGGUUGUCAUUUCCUCCUCAGGGGGUCUUCCUGACUCAGGGAUCGAACCUGCGUCUCCUGCAUCUCCUACGCUGGCAAGCGGAUUCCUUAGUACUGAGCCAUCUAGGAAGCCCCAAUUUGAUUGCUCUUCACCAUUUCCACUCCCGCAGCGGGGCAGCUCAUCUCCCCUCUAUGGACUACUGCAGUAGCCUAUCAUAUUAUAUCAAUAUGCGUGCCCCUCCAUUCCCUGCUUGUGAAACCGGUUACCUUAGAUU
ensembl:lncRNA